UCAGUGAAGCAACACACUGAAUGUUGCAUAUCAGAUUUUUUAAUUGUUUUGGUAUCAAUUCACAUUAAUUCUAAUGAAUUUAUAGAAACAUGUUAUUAAAAGAAAAUGACAAUGAACUUUAUUCUCAAUAAACUGUGUUUACAGUGUAGAGAAAAUAAAUACUAAUUGCAUUGUGAAGAAAGAUUAGUACAUUAACAAAGAGAGCUAACUCUCUCAAUAAUUGUAUUUAAUAGCUUUUAAUCACUUCACCUAGACUUAUACCUUUUAAGACACUGCGUCACAAGAUGGCAAUUUAAAUGUUUUGUUAAACUGUUUAUAUCGUUUGAUUGGGUUGUGUAUCGUCGUAGCUCAGUGGUUAAAGUAUUGGGCUUCUGAACCGCAGAUCAUGAGUUCAGAUCCACCUGCAUGGAGCUUUUGUUCAUGUUUACAGAAUUAAAUUUUCGAAAUUGUAAUUUUUCAUUUAAAAUUGAACAUUUUUUGCCUAUUAGACUUAAAUACUUCUUAUCCAUUAAGAUAUCUAUCUCAGUCAAGUAAUUUCCUGCUGAUUUGAGAAAAUAUUUCAAGGUGUAGUGAGCAACCUUGACCUUAAUGUUGGUUUUUGUUUGAUACAUUAAACAAUACUUCUAAUUUUG
rnacentral:misc_RNA from 1 species